GAUGAACGCUGGCGGCGUGCCUAAUACAUGCAAGUCGAGCGAACAGACGAGGAGCUUGCUCCUCUGACGUUAGCGGCGGACGGGUGAGUAACACGUGGAUAACCUACCUAUAAGACUGGGAUAACUUCGGGAAACCGGAGCUAAUACCGGAUAACAUGUUGAACCGCAUGGUUCAACAGUGAAAGACGGUCUUGCUGUCACUUAUAGAUGGAUCCGCGCCGCAUUAGCUAGUUGGUAAGGUAACGGCUUACCAAGGCAACGAUGCGUAGCCGACCUGAGAGGGUGGUCGGAAAAAGGGGACCAGAGACAGGGCAAAGACACAUAGGGGGGGAGGAAGGAGGAAAUCUCCCGAAAGGGGAAAAGGAGAGAGGGAGAAACGAGGCGGGAGAGAAGAAGGUCUUGGAAUGAAAAAACUUUUUAAUAAGAGAAAAAAAAAUGUGAAAGAAAAUAGGCACGUCUGGAGGGAACAAAAUAAGAAGGACACGAAAAACUAGGGG
rnacentral:rRNA from 1 species